AGUGAACGCUGGCGGUAGGCCUAACACAUGCAAGUCGAACGGCAGCACAGGAGAGCUUGCUCUCUGGGUGGCGAGUGGCGGACGGGUGAGGAAUACAUCGGAAUCUACUUUUUCGUGGGGGAUAACGUAGGGAAACUUACGCUAAUACCGCAUACGACCUACGGGUGAAAGCAGGGGACCUUCGGGCCUUGCGCGAUUGAAUGAGCCGAUGUCGGAUUAGCUAGUUGGCGGGGUAAAGGCCCACCAAGGCGACGAUCCGUAGCUGGUCUGAGAGGAUGAUCAGCCACACUGGAACGGAGACACGGGCCAGACUACUAGGGGAGGCAGCAGUGGGGAAUAUGGGACAAUGGGCGCAAGCCUGAUCCAGCCAUACCGCGUGGGUGAAGAAGGCCUUCGGGUUGUAAAGCCCUUUUGUUGGGAAAGAAAUCCAGCUGGCCAAUACCCGGUUGGGAUGACGGUACCCAAAGAAUAAGCACCGGCUAACUUCGUGCCAGCAGCCGCCGUAA
rnacentral:rRNA from 1 species